rnacentral:lncRNA from 1 species
UCACUCCUUCCUUAGAUUUUGCUGCUUCUAACACUUACGCAUCUGUGGUUGUUGUCUUUCAGUUGUCCAGUACGAGGCACGCUAGAGAGUUGUAAUCAAGAGACCUAUGGUCUUGAGCAGUCUGCGGCAACCGAAGCUACAUUUUACAGAUAACUAGUCAUGUUAAGCCUUUGAGUAUUUCUGCAGCUUGUAAAAGAUAUUCCUAGACUUGAUGUCCUAGAAUGCUGGGCAAUGUGAACAUCCUGAUGUUAAUGGCAGUGUUUAUGGAAUGAGGGGAAAAUGUUUGUACU